CACACACACACACAAAAUUCCCAUUUGUUAAUUAAGCAUGCAUCUUAAUUGCUUUAAGUAAAACUAUUAACAAUAGGUAUCUAUAUUAGGCCAGUGUAAAAAGUAGUCCUAGAAAUUGAGUAUAACAUCCUUGAGGUAAGGAAGCUUCAAAAGCUGAAGCUUCAGAAGUGAAGUUGCUUGACUUGAAAUUCACAGUUUACAAGCCAGACACUGGCGGCUCACGCCUGUAAUCCUUGUUCCUCAGGAGGCUGAGAUCUGAGGAUUGUGGUUCAAAACCAUCCCCUAGAAAAGUCUGUGAGACUCUUCAAUUAACCAUCAGAAAAAUGGAAGUGCAGCAAUGACUCAGAAGAACAAGGCUCAGCCCCAUCCAUGACUGACAAAACCAGAAACAACCCCAGAAAUUCACAGUUGAUACCGAAAACUUCCUGCUAUCUCUUCUAUGGUACUGCGUCCUACUAUUUCUUUUUGUUUUAAUAAAAAGAGAUCGUGUUUACUAUUGAUUAAUUAAAUUAAUAUUGAUGUAUUUACACUUUUGUAAAUACACCAUUUCUUUGACUAAAUAGAUGUAAAUGUUUACCUUUAUUGUUUUAAUCUUAAUCUCCCUUGUGUAGUACUGGCAUGCUAGACAUACUGUACCACUUAGCCAAACCUCUAGCCUUAAACUUCGCCUUUUCUUUUCACAUUCCUCUGAUAACUAUUCUGUACCUUGAAAAGAUGGUAUGGACAGAUAGAUGGAUAGAAUGAUUAAUAGAAAUGGGAGCUAUGUAAUCUCUGAAUUUGUUGGUGUAUGUAGAAGAGUGCUCCACUCAAGUGCUCUUGAAACAGUUCAUUUGAGUUGAGAUAUUUGGGAUUUUUUUUUUCAGAAGUGAUGAAACCUUAGGCCCUGGUUGAGUGCACAGAUGCCUAUGUAAUUUUCAGUGUAGCUGCCCUAUCUCAUCUUGGUGCUAAGGAGUUUAAACAGCUUUUAACCUGUUGUGUCCAUAGGUGAAGC